GACUCGAUAGCUCAAUGGAUAGAGCGGCGGUCUAUAGAUAGCCGAAGAUGCGAGUUCAAAUCCCGCUCGAGCCA
rnacentral:tRNA from 1 species